rnacentral:rRNA from 1 species
GCGUGUGUGAAGAAGGCCUGCGGGUUGUAAAGCACUUUCAGUGGGGAAGAAAAGCGGGGUGCGAAUACCGCCCUGUCUUGACGUUACCGACAGAAGAAGCACCGGCUAACUCCGUGCCAGCAGCCGCGGUAAUACGGAGGGUGCGAGCGUUAAUCGGAAUCACUGGGCGUAAAGCGCACGUAGGCGGCGCGUUAAGUCAGAUGUGAAAGCCCCGGGCUCAACCUGGGAACUGCAUUUGAUACUGGCGUGCUCGAGUCUGAUAGAGGGGGGUGGAAUUCCCGGUGUAGCGGUGAAAUGCGU